CCCAAGCAGCAAAACACGUUUUCUGAACCAAUUGACACGUUUUUUAACGGUGUCAUUUAGGUGUUGACUAAAACCAACGUGUCAAACACGUUUGUGGAACGUUUUCUUUGACACGUUUGCAAAAACACCUUUUAAAAACGUUCAAUACACGUUAAGGUUUAGUGUCAAAUGACACGUGAAAAUAUCAACGCAUCUGACACGAAAUCUGAACGUACAAAUUUGGUGUCAAAAGACACGUUUCUUAAAACACUGAUCUGACACCAAAUUCAAACAUGCAGUUUUGGUGUCAAAAGACACGUUUUUUAAAACACUGAUUUGACACAAAAUCUGAAAGUACAUAUUUGGUGUCAAAAGACACGUUUCUUAAAACACUGAUCUAGCACCGAAGUCCAAAUUGUUUUUGUCUGAACUGGAUGCAGCUGUGCAGCUCGCGCCGCGGUUGUGGCCGGUUGCUAGGCGACCGCUCUGAUUAACUGAAAAUUCACUUCUUUUGCCUGACCUGACAGACCUUCACCCUCUUGAUUUCUCCGUAAACUUUGACUAUUGCAUCCUUCAUAUUUCAUAUUUUCACCUUCUUUGACUUUACCCGCAUCCUCUUAACUACCAACUAUCAACCCUCCUUUUGACAAUUUCUCUUUCUGGAUCGACGACGUGAAACUUCAAACGUGAAACUCCGGUGAAGCCAACGCAAGCGUCCUCUUCAACAUUGACAACAGAAAGCCCAGACACAGACUGCACUCUCCAGCCCAAGUCCAAGUGGCAGCUUGUUUUUUUUUUGUUUUCAAAUAAAUACAUGCAUUACA